AACAGAUGCUGCAUCCGGAUUAAGCUGCAUCCAAAGCAUCGUCAGCCUCUCAACAUCCUUUUGAUAUAAAACUAUAUUAAAAAAAAAUGGGGCGCAGAAAGUCUAAGAGAAAGCCACCUCCCAAGAAAAAAAUGACUGGCAACCUGGACACCCAGUUCACUUGCCCGUUUUGUAACCACGAGAAAUCUUGUGAUGUUAAAAUGGAACGAACCCGCAAUACAGGGAUUAUAUCAUGCAGUGUGUGCUUGGAGGAGUUCCAGACACCGAUAACUUAUCUAUCCGAACCAGUGGAUGUUUACAGUGACUGGAUCGAUGCCUGUGAAGCAGCCAAUCAAUAGUCAUGUUUUCCUGUGACUCUCUUUCUUUUGACUUGAUGUGUUACAUUGUAUCCCUUACAUUGUCCACAGAGUUACGUCCUGUUAAACCAGCACAAUGUAGUAGACAACACAAAUGAUAGAAUCAUUAUGUUACUGUUAGUGUGUGACAUGCUUAGUUUUUGUUUGGUACAGCGUGGAAUGCAGAGCAUGACACAGUCUCUGGCUGGACCAGAGAAUUGCCAUUAUGUGUCUGUAUCUGCAUCUCAGUUUCUAUUUACCAAUGGUAAGCUUUGUUUUUAAGAUAAGAUGCUUUUCUUUUUUUAUUUGUCAUUUUAUUUGUCCUUCAUUUCAAGUUUUUCAUUCCAUGUUUCCAUCAGUAUUUUUUGGUCUGAAGAUUGUUAAGAUAAGUUGUAUUUUGUUGAGUAUGGUACCAUCGUGUCAUUUUUGUUGAAGUCCUGUUUUGUUUUCCAAUCCCUGUCUUUUAUGCACUGAAACAACCUAUUUGAGUAUUGAACUGCCAUAUUAUUCAUUUUUCCCAUCCAUUUACACUGUUAGAAUAUUAGAUAUCAAAUGUGUUGUUUCUAUUACACUACUCCUGUUUACUUAACAAGUUUAAGUAUUGGAAAUGAAGUCAGCAUCAUAUGUUUCAAGGGUUUUAUUGCACAAAUGUCAUGUUUAAUAAAAGGUGUAAGGGGGAGAAAUGUAGAGGUUGGCAAAGAUGUAAAGUUUGAACACUGCUGAAACAAAGCCAACACAUCAAGGUGAAAUGUUACCAUACAAUUACUCAACAUUGUGGCUGUUCUGUAAAUCAAAGGGAAGAACUUAUAAAUAAAAACUGUUACAAAAAUACAUUUUUACAUUUAAGAGAAUAAAAACUUUAGAUGCUUGACAAAACA